AUUGCCUGCCCUGCGUGGCGCAGCUGGGGUCCGAGUGGCUUAGCCUCCGGGCGCCUGCGCAAUGGCGGUCCGGAGACGCACUCGGUUGCCAUAGAGACGGGGGCUUGGGAGCGACGUCGCGCUCGCUGGCACUGGCGGUACUUGCCGCGCCGCAGCCACCUCUUUCCGACUCCACCGGUGCGGGCCCGGUCCGGGGUUUUGAGUCACGCAGACCUGGACACAGCGAGAAACGGCAGUCCGGGCCCGUCCUCCCGCCCCGGGUUCUGCACCCCAGAGGCUGACGCUUGCUUCUCGCUUUCUCCUGAGAGAAGUCUCCGCGUUUCUAAACAAUGCACUGCUAGUUUCUCAUUUCUUUCUUUCUUUUUUUUUUUUUUGAGGCGCAGCCUCGCCCUAUCGCCCAGGCUGAGUGCAAUGGCGCGAUCUCGGCUCAUUGCAACCUCCGCCUCCAGGGUUUAAACUAUUCUCCUGCCUCAGCCUCCGGAGCAGCUGGGACUAGCCACCACAUACAGCUAAUUUUUGUAUUUUUAGUCGAGACGGGCUUUCACCAUGUUGGCCAGGCUGAUCUCAAACUCCUGACCUCGUGAUCUGCCCUCCUAGGGCUCCCAACGUGCUGGGAUUAUAGGCCUCAGCCACCGCGCCCGGCCUCUCAUUUCUUAAUUGUAGAUAUUGCGUACUUCCGGAGAAGGGCCCUGAGAACCUGGCUGAUCGUCCCCGCUGCACCCCUCACAUGGUCCUUUUAGCUCCCAAACUGUCAACCUGAAAGGAAACCCAGAGGCAGGCUCUCCAGGACAAAAGUGGGCGUUAGCUCGUUGUUGGAGAGAGCCUUACCAGGCCGACGUCCUUGUGCAAGCUGCUUAUCUGGAAUACUGCAGUCCUGAGGAAUUUUCCUGCAGUGAGUCCGGUUACAGGCAAACGUGCAGGACUUGCAGGAGCGUCUUGUGAGGAGGCCUGCUGCCAGUAUUCCUGCAUGAGAGCUCCGCCUUCGUGGCCUCCCGACUCCAUUUGUUUAGGGAUUGGUGGAAGUAGUUCCAUUUUGGUACCUGCAACUUUCACAGCUGUCGUAAUGAAAUCAGGCUUAGCUCUUCAUGAUUGAGUACCUGCUGUUCACUGCUACUGUAUAAAACCAUGCCACAAUUCCUGUACAAUCUUUUUUUUCUUUUGAGUUGUUACCUAAUAUUUAUACAUACCUAGCUUUUUACUAACCCAUGGCCAGUCUUUUUAUCAAGUGCCCCAACGUUUUUGCCACAUGCCAUUUUCCAAAGGCUCAAACACAUCCGUUGUGUCUGAUUCUCCUGUUCCGACCUAGACCGAUCACUUCCUGACCCUGCUGCACAGCUCUUACCUCGAGCUUUUCUCUGCUCUCAUUCUUGAGACUCACUUUGCCUGUCUCCUUUCUUGAAUUCCCUGUGUAAACGAAAAAUAAAAUCCUAAGCCCUCUAC